rnacentral:rRNA from 1 species
UACGAAGGGGGCUAGCGUUGCUCGGAAUGACUGGGCGUAAAGGGCGCGUAGGCGGAUGGCACAGUCAGAUGUGAAAUUCCCGGGCUUAACCUGGGGGCUGCAUUUGAUACGUGUGAUCUAGAGUGAGGAAGAGGGUCGUGGAAUUCCCAGUGUAGAGGUGAAAUUCGUAGAUAUUGGGAAGAACACCGGUGGCGAAGGCGGCGACCUGGUC